rnacentral:rRNA from 1 species
UACGAAGGGGGCUAGCGUUGCUCGGAAUCACUGGGCGUAAAGGGCGCGUAGGCGGCCAUUCAAGUCAGAGGUGAAAGCCCAAGGCUCAACCUUGGAACUGCCUUUGAUACUGUUUGGCUUGAGACCGGUAGAGGUAAGUGGAACUGCGAGUGUAGAGGUGAAAUUCGUAGAUAUUCGCAAGAACACCAGUGGCGAAGGCGGCUCACUGGCCCGAUACUGACGCUGAGGUGCGAAAGCGUGGGGAGCAAACAGG